AUGAAGAACGGCGAAAUUCCCGAAAAUGCCAAUGAGCAUUGUCCUGGUCCCCAAUCAGAGUCAGCAGGAAAAUCUGACGCUUGUGAAGGUUGUCCUAAUCAAAAAGCUUGUGCUACUGCCCCCAAAGGCCCUAACCUAGACUUGGUUGUUAUUGCAGAAAGGAUGGCUACUGUUAAGCAUAAGAUACUUGUUUUAUCAGGGAAGGGUGGAGUUGGCAAGAGCACAUUCUCUGCUCAACUAUCAUUCGCCCUAGCAGCCAUGGACUUCUAGGUAGGUCUACUUGAUGUUGACAUUUGUGGCCCAAGCAUCCCAAAGAUGCUUGGCCUAGAAGGUCAAGACAUCCGCCAGAGCAACUUCGGCUGGUCUCCUGUCUAUGUUGACUCCAAUCUUGGGGUCUUGUCAAUUGGAUUCAUGCUUCCUGAUCCUGAUGAAGCUGUCAUAUGGAGGGGUCCUCGCAAGAAAGGGCUCAUCAAGAAUUUCCUGAAGGAAGUGUACUGGAAUGAACUUGAUUUUUUGGUUGUUGAUUCUCCUCCUGGGACCUCAGAUGAGCACAUCUCAAUUGUUCAAUGCCUUGGGGCUACUGGAAUGGAUGGUGCAAUUAUUGUCACCACUCCACAGCAAGUCUCCUUGAUUGAUGUGCGGAAAGAAAUCAAUUUCUGCAAAAAGGUUGGUGUUAAGGUUCUUGGGGUUGUUGAGAACAUGAGUGGCUUGUCCCAGCCAGUGAUGGAUUUCAAGUUUGUGAGGAUGACAGAGACAGGUGAACAUAUAGAUGUUUCGGAGUGGGUUAGGGAAUAUUUUAAAGAGAAAGCACCAGAACUUCAAGAUUUGAUUGCUUGCAGUGAAGUGUUUGAUAGUAGCAGUGGUGGUGCAGAAAAAAUGUGUAGGGAAAUGGGUGUGCCUUUUCUUGGGAAGGUGCCAUUGGAUCCACAAAUUUGCAAGGCAGCUGAAGAAGGUAGAUCCUGCUUCAUUGAUCAGAAAUGCGGGGUGGGCGCUCCUGCACUGAAGAUCAUCAUAGAAAAACUGAUUGAAAAUAAUGAAUUCUCAAGAGUGUUGCUAAAUAAUGCAUACGCAAGUUAG